rnacentral:rRNA from 1 species
AUUGAACGCUGGCGGCAGGCCUAACACAUGCAAGUCGAACGAGUGGCGGACGGGUGAGUAAUGUCUGGGAAACUGCCUGAUGGAGGGGGAUAACUACUGGAAACGGUAGCUAAUACCGCAUACCAUCGGAUGUGCCCAGAUGGGAUUGGCUAGUAGGUGGGGUAAAGGGUCACCUAGGCGACGAUCCCGAGCGGGUCUGAGAGGAUGACCAGCUACACUGGAACGGAGACACGGUCCAGACGCCUACGGUAGGCAGCAGUGGGGAAUAUUGCACAAUGGGCGAAAGCCUGAUGCAGCCAUGCCGCGUGUGUGAAGAAGGCCUUCGGGUUGUAAAGCACUUUCAGCGGGGAGGCGUUACCCGCAGAAGAAGCACCGGCUAACUCCGUGCCAGCAGCCGCGGUAAUAC